rnacentral:sRNA from 1 species
UUUUUUUUGUCUAUCUU